CCUACGGGCGGCUGCAGUGGGGAAUAUUGGACAAUGGGCGCAAGCCUGAUCCAGCAAUGCCGCGUGGGUGAAGACGGCCUGCGGGUUGUAAAGCCCUUUAGGCGGGGAGGAACGGUCGGGUGCCAAUACCACCCGGCGCUGACGUUACCCGCAGAAUAAGCACCGGCUAACUCCGUGCCAGCAGCCGCGGUAAUACGGAGGGUGCGAGCGUUAAUCGGAAUUACUGGGCGUAAAGCGUGCGUAGGCGGUAGCGUCAGUCAGCCGUGAAAGCCCCGGGCUUAACCUGGGAACGGCGGUUGAGACGGCGCAACUCGAGUGGGCUAGAGGAUCGUGGAAUUCCGGGUGUAGCGGUGAAAUGCGUAGAGAUCCGGAGGAACACCGAUGGCGAAGGCAGCGGUCUGGGGCCACACUGACGCUGAGGCACGACAGCGUGGGGAGCAAACAGGAUUAGAUACCCCGGUAGUC
rnacentral:rRNA from 1 species